GACGAACGCUGGCGGCGUGCUUAACACAUGCAAGUCGAACGGAAAGGCCCUGCUUUUGUGGGGUGCUCGAGUGGCGAACGGGUGAGUAACACGUGAGUAACCUGCCCUUGACUUUGGGAUAACCUCAGGAAACUGGGGCUAAUACCGGAUAGGAGCUCCUGCUGCAUGGUGGGGGUUGGAAAGUUUCGGCGGUUGGGGAUGGACUCGCGGCUUAUCAGCUUGUUGGUGGGGUAGUGGCUUACCAAGGCUUUGACGGGUAGCCGGCCUGAGAGGGUGACCGGCCACAUUGGGACUGAGAUACGGCCCAGACUCCUACGGGAGGCAGCAGUGGGGAAUAUUGCACAAUGGGCGGAAGCCUGAUGCAGCAACGCCGCGUGCGGGAUGACGGCCUUCGGGUUGUAAACCGCUUUCGCCUGUGACGAAGCGUGAGUGACGGUAAUGGGUAAAGAAGCACCGGCUAACUACGUGCCAGCAGCCGCGGUGAUACGUAGGGUGCGAGCGUUGUCCGGAUUUAUUGGGCGUAAAGGGCUCGUAGGUGGUUGAUCGCGUCGGAAGUGUAAUCUUGGGGCUUAACCCUGAGCGUGCUUUCGAUACGGGUUGACUUGAGGAAGGUAGGGGAGAAUGGAAUUCCUGGUGGAGCGGUGGAAUGCGCAGAUAUCAGGAGGAACACCAGUGGCGAAGGCGGUUCUCUGGGCCUUUCCUGACGCUGAGGAGCGAAAGCGUGGGGAGCGAACAGGCUUAGAUACCCUGGUAGUCCACGCUGUAAACGGUGGGUACUAGGUGUGGGGUCCAUUCCACGGGUUCCGUGCCGUAGCUAACGCUUUAAGUGCCCCGCCUGGGGAGUACGGCCGCAAGGCUAAAACUCAAAGGAAUUGACGGGGCCCCGCACAAGCGGCGGAGCAUGCGGAUUAAUUCGAUGCAACGCGUAGAACCUUACCUGGGUUUGACAUGGAUCGGGAGUGCUCAGAGAUGGGUGUGCCUCUUUUGGGGUCGGUUCACAGGUGGUGCAUGGCUGUCGUCAGCUCGUGUCGUGAGAUGUUGGGUUAAGUCCCGCAACGAGCGCAACCCUUGUUCACUGUUGCCAGCACGUUAUGGUGGGGACUCAGUGGAGACCGCCGGGGUCAACUCGGAGGAAGGUGGGGAUGACGUCAAGUCAUCAUGCCCCUUAUGUCCAGGGCUUCACGCAUGCUACAAUGGCUGGUACAGAGAGUGGCGAGCCUGUGAGGGUGAGCGAAUCUCGGAAAGCCGGUCUCAGUUCGGAUUGGGGUCUGCAACUCGACCUCAUGAAGUCGGAGUCGCUAGUAAUCGCAGAUCAGCAACGCUGCGGUGAAUACGUUCCCGGG
rnacentral:rRNA from 1 species